GGCUGGGGCAUCCCGUGUGGUCUCGGCCUGCACGGGUCCUUUGGGCUCUGGCUGGGGAUGGGGGCCUGGAUGGGCAGCACCAUAAGCCGUUUCUCUGCUCCUGGGCGGUGGCCCCACAGAAGGUGGGUGAGUCCCCUGCAAUAACGGGGCCUUGUGCGGGAAGGUGUUUUUCAGAGGCAUCACGGUGAACGCUGUGCGGGGCUUCCCCAUGAGCGCUGCCAUGUUCCUUGGGUACGAGCUUUCGCUGCAGGCCUUCCGCGGGGACCAGGCGGUGCCGAGCUCGUGAGUGCAGGGCCAGUGUCACCUGACCAGAGCCUCAUCCCACUACAGGUUGAUGCUGAUGGCAUCUCUGGAACUCAUGGUGCUGAAUUUACUGAAAAGAAGAAAGGAAACUUGCCACCCCGGGCUCUGCGCCAACCGCCCUGACCUGGGAAUCCCUCCCUUCCCAAAGAAAGCACUCUCCUUGCUGGGCCUGCUGAGCUGCUGCCAUGGAAGGAAGAAAGGGACCAUCAGUCCAUUGAUUGCCAUUUAUUUCAGCACUGCCCUAGCUCCUGGCAAAAAUGGGGUAAAUUGGACCCUGCUCUCAUGAUCCUUGUAAACUCAUUGGGAAUUCCUGGAGGAGCUGGAGUUGGCUCUAAGUUUCCAAAUAAAAGCAUUGAAAACCUCUUCA